UACGUAGGGCGCAAGCGUUGUUCGGAAUUAUUGGGCGUAAAGCGUGUGUAGGUGGCUAUGUAAGUCGAGUGUGAAAUCCCUGGGCUCAACCGAGGAAGUGCACUCGAAACUGUGUAGCUAGAGGAUAGUAGAGGAAGGUGGAAUUCCUAGUGUAGAGGUGAAAUUCGUAGAUAUUAGGAGGAAUACCGGUGGCGAAGGCGACCUUCUGGGCUAUUCCUGACACUGAGACACGAAAGCAUGGGUAGCAAACAGG
rnacentral:rRNA from 1 species